AUUGAACGCUGGCGGCAGGCUUAACACAUGCAAGUCGAGCGAGCGGCGGACGGGUGAGUAAUGUCUGGGAAACUACGUGAUGGAGGGGGAUAACUACUGGAAACGGUAGCUAAUACCGCAUACCAUCAGAUGUGCCCUGAUGGGAUUAGCUAGUAGGUGGGGUAAUGGCUCACCUAGGCGACGAUCCCUAGCUGGUCUGAGAGGCUGACCAGCAACACUGGAACUGAGACACGGUCCAGACUCCUACGGGAUGCAGCAGUGGGGAAUAUUGCACAAUGGGCGAAAGCCUGAUGGAGCCAUGCCGCGGGUGUGAAGAAGGCCUUCGGGUUGUAAAGCACUUUCAGCGAGGAGGCGUUACUCGAAGAAGAAGCACCGGCUAACUCCGUGCCAGCAGCCGCGGUAAUAC
rnacentral:rRNA from 1 species